rnacentral:rRNA from 1 species
AUGGUCUGGAAGAAGGAGGUUAGGAUCUACUCCCGGAUCACCACUCUUGACUUCAUCGAUGUUUCUGUGGAAGAGGCAAAUGGCGACAUCUGGAGGCUCACAGGAAUAUAUGGUGAACCUAGUUGGGAGCAUAAGGACCGUACUUUCCGUAUAAUACGGGAUUUACAUGCCCAGUCUGGUCUACCAUGGGUUGUCCUAGGAGACUUUAACGAGAUACUAUUUUCUCAUGAGAAGGAUGGCGGGGCCCCUCGCCAACACUCACGGAUGCAAGCCUUCCAAGAUGCCUUGUCGGAUUGUGGGCUGGAAGACAUUGGGUAUACAGGGGACACUUUUACCUGGUUCCGAGGUGGCCUCCGUGAGAGGCUCGACAGGGCAGUUUCAAACCAAGAUUGGAUGCUGCUGCAUCCCUUUGCGGGCCUCUCCAACCUUGAGAUGGGCAAGUCGGAUCAUAGACCGAUUUGUCUUGACACUGAAUACUUGUCAGGUGUAGCUGCUAACACGCCGGCACGGGGGAAACAAAUUUGA